AUUAACUGAAUCCAUAGGUUAAUGAGGCGAACCGGGGGAACUGAAACAUCUAAGUACCCCGAGGAAAAGAAAUCAACCGAGAUUCCCCCAGUAGCGGCGAGCGAACGGGGAGCAGCCCAGAGCCUGAAUCAGUGUGUGUGUUAGUGGAAGCGUCUGGAAAGGCGCGCGAUACAGGGUGACAGCCCCGUACACAAAAAUGCACAUGCUGUGAGCUCGAUGAGUAGGGCGGGACACGUGGUAUCCUGUCUGAAUAUGGGGGGACCAUCCUCCAAGGCUAAAUACUCCUGACUGACCGAUAGUGAACCAGUACCGUGAGGGAAAGGCGAAAAGAACCCCGGCGAGGGGAGUGAAAAAGAACCUGAAACCGUGUACGUACAAGCAGUGGGAGCACGCUUAGGCGUGUGACUGCGUACCUUUUGUAUAAUGGGUCAGCGACUUAUAUUCUGUAGCAAGGUUAACCGAAUAGGGGAGCCGAAGGGAAACCGAGUCUUAACUGGGCGUUAAGUUGCAGGGUAUAGACCCGAAACCCGGUGAUCUAGCCAUGGGCAGGUUGAAGGUUGGGUAACACUAACUGGAGGACCGAACCGACUAAUGUUGAAAAAUUAGCGGAUGACUUGUGGCUGGGGGUGAAAGGCCAAUCAAACCGGGAGAUAGCUGGUUCUCCCCGAAAGCUAUUUAGGUAGCGCCUCGUGAAUUCAUCUCCGGGGGUAGAGCACUGUUUCGGCAAGGGGGUCAUCCCGA
rnacentral:rRNA from 1 species